GAUGAACGCUGGCGGCGUGCCUAAUACAUGCAAGUCGAGCGAACGGACGAGAAGCUUGCUUCUCUGAUGUUAGCGGCGGACGUGUGAGUAACACGUGGAUAACCUACCUAUAAGACUGGGAUAACUUCGGGAAACCGGAGCUAACACCGGAUAAUAUUUUGAACCGCAGGGUUCAAAAGUGAAAGACGGUCUUGCUGUCACUUAUAGCUGGAUCUGCGCUGCUUUAGCUAGUUGGUAAGGUAACGGCUUACCAAGGCAACGAUGCAUAGCCGACCUGAGAGGGUGAUCGGCCACACUGGAACUGAGACACGGUCCAGACUCCUACGGGAGGCAGCAGUAGGGAAUCGUACGCAAUGGGCGAAAACCUGACGGAGCAACGCCGCGUGAGUGAUGAAGGUCUUCGGAGCGUAAAACUCUGUUAUUAGGGAAGAACAUAUGUGUAAGUAACUGUGCACAUCUUGACGGUACCUAAUCAGAAAGCCCCGGCUAACUACGUG
rnacentral:rRNA from 1 species